UUUUCGCCAGCGAUAGAAGCGGAAAUCCUUUCCUUUUCGCAUACAAAAUUUGAAUCAAUUGGAAUUGGAAAGAUUGGAGCGGAUAGCGCGAUCGUUU
rnacentral:sRNA from 1 species